rnacentral:rRNA from 1 species
GGGGGAUAACGUUCGGAAACGGACGCUAAUACCGCAUACGUCCUACGGGAGAAAGCAGGGGACCUUCGGGCCUUGCGCUAUCAGAUGAGCCUAGGUCGGAUUACCUAGUUGGUGGGGUAAUGGCUCACCAAGGCGACGAUCCGUAACUGGUCUGAGAGGGUGAUCAGUCCCACUGGAACUGAAACACGGUCCAUACUCCUACGGGAGGCAGCAGUGGGGAAUAUUGGACAAUGGGCGAAAGCCUGAUCCAGCCAUGCCGCGGGUGUGAAGAAGGUCUUCGGAUUGUAAAGCACUUUAAGUUGGGAGGAAGGGUUGUAGAUUAAUACUCUGCAAUUUUGACGUUACCGACUGAAUAAGCACCGGCUAACUCUUGUGC